CUACGGGAGGCAGCAGUGGGGAAUAUUGCACAAUGGGGGGAAACCCUGAUGCAGCGACGCCGCGUGGAGGAAGAAGGUCUUCGGAUUGUAAACUCCUGUUGUUGAGGAAGAUAAUGACGGUACUCAACAAGGAAGUGACGGCUAACUACGUGC
rnacentral:rRNA from 1 species